UAUAAGCUGCGUAGUACGCUUGGAGUAAGUUUUCUCUGGGCCUACAUCGUCCUUAACGGGAGCCGUCACUACAGUAGGUUGUGACCUACUAUAAAUGGUGCCCACUUAACUAUUAGAGUUCUAGGGGGACAUUAAACUUCGGCGGCUACUGCGGCAUUUAA
rnacentral:other from 1 species